GGGAGUGUUGAGGGGGCCUGAAGGGUUCCGCUCCUCCCACCCAGGGAACCGCCAUGCCACUAGUGGGCUGUCCUGGAGACUCGGGGAGAAAGCACACAGGCUGUCGGGAAAGGUGGGUCGCAGGCGGGCAGGGCAGCCCUGCUGUACUGAUGGGCAGGCGCUGGGUGGGUGGAAGGCAAAGCCAUCAGGUCAUCCCCCUCUCUGUCCCUGCAUUGGGCCAACCAGGUGUGUCAGGAGGAUAUUUGACCAUUCCUGAGAGGCACAUUCUCUCUCUCUCUCUCUCUCUCCCUCUCUCUCUCUCCCUCUCUCUCUCCCUCUCUCCCUCUCUCUCCCUCUCUCUCCCUCUCUCUCCCUCUCCCUCUCUCUCUCCCUCUCCCUCUCUCCCCCCUCCCUCUCCCUCCCUCUCCCCCUCUCCCUCUCCCUCUCUCCCCCUCCCUCUCUCUCCCUCUCUCUCCCUCUCUCUCCCCCUCUCUCUCCCUCCUCUCUCUGUCACACACAUUUGCACAUCCUGCAGUGUGAAUGGAGUAUGAAUGUGUGUGGUAGGCGACAGCUGUGUGUGUACGUCCGGGUGCGUGUGUGCGUGUGUACAUGUGAGCGUGUGUGCACGUGAGUUAGAGCCUGAGUGUCCCCUGCGUGGGUUAGUGUGUGCGCCCGCCCGGUGCCCUCCGUCUUGGGAGUCUGGGCUGCUGCUCCGCGGGCUCUGGAGCCGGCGCUCCCCACGAGCCCGGACUCUCCGCCGCGCCCGGGAGCUGCGCAAUCGGCUGCUAAGACGCCGGCGCCACCGGCUGGGCCCUGUUCUCCCCUCUCUUUUCUACAGUCUUACCCGCAGCUGACAGGGUUCGAAAGAGCAUGAAACGGAGGAGACGUUACAGCAACGUGUCAGCUGAAAUGAUGGGCGUAGACGCACGUCAGCGGCGGAAAUGGUUUCUAUCAAAAUGAAAGUGUUUAGAGAUUUUCCUCAAGUUUCAAAUGAGGCGAAUCCCGUUUUCCGCGAUGCUGCAGCGCGCGGGUUUUAACCGCAGGGUCACGCGGAACGCCGCGCCGCGCGACUGUGCCUCGGUCUCUGCGCCCGGCUCUCCCUCCGGUCCGCAAGAGGAGGAAGGCCCGCGGCGUGCCGAGGUCAGCGGCGCGGAGCCACCAGGCGAGACGGUCACGGACGCCUGAACCGAGGUCACCGAGGCCACGGGGCCGGGAGGCCCUCAGCAGAGCCCGGGGGCUCCGCACCUCAAGGCCGGCCAGGAAGAAACAGCAGCAGGAGCCCAGGGCGCCCCGGGGAGCCCCCGACACGCGGGCCGAGCGCCCAGAGCGGCCCAGGCCCUCGCGAGGAGACCGGCCUCCCCAGGGCGGGGCUUCCGACUCGGGCGCCCGUGAGCCCCGGAGGCGGCGCGAAGGGGCAGAGUCCGCGUUUCUAACCAGCCCCCGGGUGGGCGGUGGCCCGCGCGGCACGGUGGGCGCGAGCGCCGUGGGCUGGGGCCGGCCUGGGCUUUCAGGGCGAGGGCUUUCCGCGCCGGCCCCAGCCCACCCGGCCCCGCUGCGCGCCCCUCACGCUGCAGCCUGGGAACCUGGGCCGGGAGCUGCGGGCCGCUCCGGGGAAGCGGGCCUGACCUCCCCUCCCCACCGCCGCCCCUGCGGUGAGAUCCUGCCUGCCGGGGCGCAGGGGCCCGCGGUUGGGCUCCGGGAGACGGAAGAGGCCCCACAGCUCGGGCCCCACGCAGUGGACGCUGCCACUUAAUUUUGGCGUAAUUGAUGUCAAGGCGGGUGCCCGGGCCCCCAGUGAAAUGCCUCAUGAACUCGCUGCGAGGAACGGCGCUCCACGCGGUGCACGGUGGCCAAUCAGAGCUGCCGCUUCUGAUGGAGGCUGAGCCGGCUGGGGAGGCGUCUUGGCCAAGAACCAGCCCCAGCCUCGCUCAGGGCCCCAACCCGCAGACCAUGUAAUUAAGCUGCGUUCUGCAGCCAGGGCAAGAGUCUCAGCUCUGAACAUCUUCCCGCACCUCUGAGGAGCCAGGCCUGGAAACCCUCUAAAAUAGAUUUUUCUGCCUCAAGACAGAAGAUGGGCGUUCCAGGCAGAGAAGAGCUGCCCAGUCACGUGCUCUGCUCCACCUGGUCAGAGACCCUUGACCUUUAGAAGACUGGACCUGAGGGCGUGGCUGGUGGACCUGAGGGCGUGGAUGGUGGACCUGGCCACCCAGCUGUAGCUUUUUGGGUUCCUGUGGUCCCAUUUCUUGGGUCAAUCUCACACCUGGCAGCUCCCAGGAAGACACCCCCAGGCCCCUCACACUCCUGGGGGCAGCUGGAAUUGGCUUCAGGGCGGGACCAGGGGCCCCAUGGGUGUUUGGAAUCCCUGAUCUGGGUCAGGCACCGGCAGCAGGAUUCCAGCCUGGCCUGGACUCUGGUGUGUCCCGUUUGAAGAAACCCCGCCCUGUGAAAGUUCAAGUUUAGCAUCCAAUGACCCAUUUAAGAGGUUUGCUGAGCCACGUCACAGGAGGGUCUGGGUGCAAACGGAGGUGGCAACACACAGAGCGAGCCUUGAGCACCCAGGUUACCCCCAGGACCUCCAGUCUGGCUUGGGGGCUCCUGCUGUCCUGUGGAGCAGCCCCCUGGGAUCAGGGACGGGGCUGAGCUGGAGAGUGUGCAGGAUUGAUUAAUGAUGUCUGCCACGGUCAGGCCAACUGCUGUGUUUCUGGGGCCCACAAGCUAAAAAUGGUUGGAAAAAAAUCAAAACAUUAAUAUUUGUGACAUAUGAGAAUGCUAUGAAAGUCAACUUUGCUAUCCAUAAAUAAAGUUUUAUUGACAU
rnacentral:lncRNA from 1 species